AGAGUUUGAUCCUGGCUCAGAACGAACGCUGGCGGCAGGCCUAACACAUGCAAGUCGAACGCUCGUAGCAAUACGGGAGUGGCAGACGGGUGCGUAACGCGUGGGAACAUACCCUUUGGUUCGGAAUAACUCAGGGAAACUUGAGCUAAUACCGGAUACGCCCGAGAGGGGAAAGAUUUAUUGCCGAAGGAUUGGCCCGCGUCUGAUUAGCUAGUUGGUGAGGUAACGGCUCACCAAGGCGACGAUCAGUAGCUGGUCUGAGAGGAUGAUCAGCCACACUGGGACUGAGACACGGCCCAGACUCCUACGGGAGGCAGCAGUGGGGAAUAUUGGACAAUGGGCGCAAGCCUGAUCCAGCCAUGCCGCGUGAGUGAUGACGGCCUUAGGGUUGUAAAGCUCUUUUACCCGGGAAGAUAAUGACGGUACCGGGAGAAUAAGCCCCGGCUAACUUCGUG
rnacentral:rRNA from 1 species